ACCUUCGUGGUGUAGUAGUCAGCACGCUCGGCCGGUAUUCGAGAAAUCCGUGGUUCGAGUCCCGGCGAGGGCG
rnacentral:tRNA from 1 species